AUAAAUAAGCGGAGGAAAAGAAACCAAACGGGAUUCCCUUAGUAACGGCGAGCGAAAAGGGAAAUGUCCAGCACCAAGUCUUGACAUCUACGGUGUUCAAGAGAUGCGGUGUUAAUGUAUCGACCCAUCGUGCACUGUUCCACAUUUCAAGUUCCUACGACCGGGACUUCCAGAGCGGGUGUAAGACCCAUAGAGAUGAGGAACCAGUGUAUGCUGAGCGAUGCAUUCUAGAGUCAGGUUGCUUGAGAGUGCAGCUUAAAGUCGGUGGUAAACUCCAUCCAAGACUAAAUAUUACAGCGAGACCGAUAGCAAACAAGUACCGUGAGGGAAAGUUGCAAAGCACUUUGAAGAGAGAGUUCAAAAGUACGUGAAACCACUGGGAGGCAAACAGAUGGAACCACGAAGUGUGCGCCUCGGUCGAUUCAAUCAUCACCAUUUGUCAGUUUUUGUCAAUUAGGAUCUUUUCGGAGGUUGAUUGCCAGGAACUAUGAUGAAUGGUGUUGGUGCAUUUCGUGCCGGGGAUGCUAAGCCACGUUCAACUAGAGUUGGGACGGCUGUAAGAAGGAAUCCGAGAAAGGUGCCCGUCACGUGCUUGCAUUUGACGGCGUUAUAGUCUUGGAUUGGCACCGUCACCUAACAUACUGGUUGAUGCAAAUUCUCCAUUUGGAGUUGAACCAUGUCUGCCUGUGGCUGUUAGUCGAUGUUGCGUAAUGUUCUUUGCGUAUCUUUCGAUGCGAAAAGACUUUGCAAAGAUGUCGGCUAAUGGUUGCUUGCGUGACAUGGUGGAACUGUGGCGCGAGUAGGUCGGUCUCCAUCUGACCCGUCUUGAAACACGGACCAAGGAGCCUAUCAUAUACGCGAGUCGCACGGUCUUGUUUAGGCCAGUGAGGCGUAAUGAAAGUAAAGUUACGAGGCUUCGGCUGCAGUAACGGCUCGCCCACUUUGUUUAUYGGCAAUAUGGCGAAGCUGGAGCGUAUACGAUGGUACCCGAAAGAUGGUGAACUAUGCCUGGGCAAGACGAAGCCAGAGGAAACUCUGGUGGAGGUCUGUAGCGAUUCUGACGUGCAAAUCGAUCGUCAGACCUGGGUAUAGGGGCGAAAGACUAAUCGAACCAUCUAGUAGCUGGUUCCCUCCGAAGUUUCCCUCAGGAUAGCAGGCGUUUAUUUCAUGGCAGUCUCAUCCGGUAAAGCUAAUGAUUAGAGGUCUUGGGGUUGAAACGACCUCAACCUAUUCUCAAACUUUAAAUGGGUGAGAUGGUUGACUUUCUUGAUUGAAGCCAACCAUUUGGAUGCAAAUGCCUAGUGGGCCAUUUUUGGUAAGCAGAACUGGCGCUGUGGGAUGAACCAAACGUCGAGAUAAGGCAUCAAAUGCGUACGCUCAUCAGACCCCAUGAAAGGUGUUGGUUGCUAUAGACAGCAGGACGGUGGCCAUGGAAGUCGGAAUCCGCUAAGGAGUGUGUAACAACUCACCUGCCGAAGCAACUAGCCCUGAAAAUGGACGAUGCUGUAGCGUGGAGCCGAUACUCGACCGUUAUGACGAUUCCGWYAAGAAUGCGAUGUCAUAACGAGUAGGAGGGCCGCAGUGUUAGCGUUGAAGGUGUCCGGCGUGAGCCGGCCUGGAGCUAUCAUUGUU
rnacentral:rRNA from 2 species